GCCUCUACCGGCGGGAUUUGAUGGCGUGAUGGUAUGUGUUGUAAUGGCGGCCGUUUCAUUGUCACCGGCGUCGGCACGGCUGAAUCCGCGACGCAUCGCCGCCAUCCCGUCUUGGCCGGCGCCGGGGGUUUGCUUUAGGGGCACGGGCGACCCAGCGGGGACUUCAGUCUGGCCUAUUUUCUGGAAAGUCGAGAGGCUUGUGAAGAGCGCUUGGAGGACUGGCUUUGGGCCUGCAGGUCGGCCAGAGAGAGGCCUCUCACAGAAAGUUCUCCGCUCCCAGACAUGGGUCCCUCGGCUUCCUGCCUCGGAAGCGCAGCAGCAGGCAUCGUGGGAAGGUGAAGAGCUUCCCUAAGGAUGACCCGUCCAAGCCGGUCCACCUCACAGCCUUCCUGGGAUACAAGGCUGGCAUGACUCACAUCGUGCGGGAAGUCGACAGGCCGGGAUCCA
rnacentral:lncRNA from 1 species